rnacentral:rRNA from 1 species
CACGGGGGGGAGCAAGCGUUGUUCGGAAUCACUGAGCGUAAAGGGCGUGUAGGCGGUCAGGUAAGUGGGAUGUGAAAGCCCUCGGCUCACCCGAGGAUCUGCAUCUCAAACUGCCUGGCUUGAGUAUGGGAGAGGAUGAGGGAAUUCCUGGUGUAGCGGUGAAAUGCGUAGAUAUCUGCAGGAACACCCGUGGCGAAAGCGGCGCGCUGGACCACUACUGACGCUGAGGAACGAAAGCUAGGGGAGCAAACAGG